ACCAGACUCCUACGGGAGGCAGCAGUGGGGAAUAUUGCACAAUGGGGGGAACCCUGAUGCAGCGACGCCGCGUGAGUGAAGAAGUAAUUCGUUACGUAAAGCUCUAUCAGCAGGGAAGAAAAUGACGGUACCUGACUAAGAAGCCCCGGCUAACUACGUGCCAGCAGCCGCGGUAAUACGUAGGGGGCAAGCGUUAUCCGGAAUUACUGGGUGUAAAGGGAGCGCAGACGGCAGUGCAAGUCUGGAGUGAAAGCCCGUGGCUUAACUACGGGACUGCUCUGGAAACUGUGCAGCUAGAGUGCAGGAGAGGCAGGCGGAAUUCCUAGUGUAGCGGUGAAAUGCGUAGAUAUUAGGAGGAACACCAGUGGCGAAGGCGGCUUACUGGACUGUAACUGACGUUGAGGCUCGAAAGCGUGGGGAGCAAACAGGAUUAGAUACCCGGGUA
rnacentral:rRNA from 1 species